AGUGGCGCACGGGUGAGUAACGUUGUAGGUAAUCUACCUCUGCAUCUGGGAUAACACUUCGAAAGGGGUGCUAAUACCGGAUACACUUAUGAAUCGCAAGGUUGAUAAGGAAAGGAGACCUCUCCUUGGAAGUUUCUGUGUAGAGAUGAGCCUGCGUCCCAUUAGCUAGUUGGUAGGGUAAUGGCCUACCAAGGCUACGAUGGGUAGCGGGUCUGAGAGGAUGAUCCGCCACACUGGAACUGAAACACGGACCAGACUCCUACGGGAGGCAGCAGUGAGGAAUAUUGGACAAUGGGCGCAAGCCUGAUCCAGCGACGCCGCGUGAGCGAUGAAGGCCUUUGGGUCGUAAAGCUCUGUCAGCAGGGAAGAAUGGCCGUGUGGUUAAUACCCAUGCGGAUUGACGGUACCUGCAGAGGAAGCACCGGCUAACUCCGUGCCAGCAGCCGCGGUAAUACGGAGGGUGCGAGCGUUAAUCGGAAUUACUGGGCGUAAAGGGCGCGUAGGCGGCCAAUCAAGUCAGGUGUGAAAGCCCACGGCUUAACCGUGUGAAGUGCAUCUGAAACUGGUUGGCUUGAGUAUCGGAGAGGAAAGUGGAAUUCCCGGUGUAGAGGUGAAAUUCGUAGAUAUCGGGAGGAAUACCGGUGGCGAAGGCGACUUUCUGGACGAAUACUGACGCUGAGGCGCGAAAGCGUGGG
rnacentral:rRNA from 1 species